AGUGAACGCUGGCGGUAGGCCUAACACGUGCAAGUCGAACGGCAGCACAGUAAGAGCUUGCUCUUACGGGUGGCGAGUGGCGGACGGGUGAGGAAUACAUCGGAAUCUACUUUUUCGUGGGGGAUAACGUAGGGAAACUUACGCUAAUACCGCAUACGACCUACGGGUGAAAGCAGGGGAUCUUCGGACCUUGCGCGAUUGAAUGAGCCGAUGUCGGAUUAGCUAGUUGGCGGGGUAAAGGCCCACCAAGGCGACGAUCCGUAGCUGGUCUGAGAGGAUGAUCAGCCACACUGGAACUGAGACACGGUCCAGACUCCUACGGGAGGCAGCAGUGGGGAAUAUUGGACAAUGGGCGCAAGCCUGAUCCAGCCAGACCGCGUGGGUGAAGAAGGCCUUCGGGUUGUAAAGCCCUUUUGUUGGGAAAGAAAAGCAGCAGGUUAAUACCCCGCUGUUCUGACGGUACCCAAAGAAUAAGCACCGGCUAACUUCGUG
rnacentral:rRNA from 1 species